CAUUGUCCUGUGAGAGCUAGCUUAGGCUGUAUGUAGUGCAGAUAAAAGCAGAAAGAGUGUUUUCCUAGUGCCUAUUUAUUAUGCCUUUCUGGUUACUUGCACAGUUCCUAAGAAAAGAAACUCUUGAGUCCAGCCAACUGCAACCAUGGUGCCAAAGCAUAGAAAUGAAAAAGAAAAAAGGAGAUGGCCUGGCUUCCUGUGAAUUAUUUGACAUAAAAACACACCAGUGUAAAAAUACAUAGUAAUAAAAAGUGAUAUGAAUAAAAGUUGGGAAGGUCACAAGUAAAAGAACUGAUAAAAGACUUGGCUAGAGGAAAAAAAUAUUUAUACUUUUAAAAGAUCUAAUUAUUCAUCUGAUUUCCAUAAGAUGGGAACUCUUGUUCAAUUUUUUUCAGAAACUAUAAGUCAAUUACAGUGCACCCAAAUUUCUGCUCCGAGAAACCCAGUUUAAGCUUUAGCAGUGAUUUUAUCACAGGCUGCUGUGAUCAUUGUGGAAUGGUUGAUUAAAACAUAAAAAGAGCCAAACCACUUGUAGCAGCAAUGGCUCUUGAGAGAGAGAAACUCAGAAUAGUGAAUCCUCCCAUGAAGCUUGAGCCAUCGAAUAGAGGGCCCACUGGCAACUGCCUGCUGAAACUCAGAGACUCUCCGGCUGUGCAACAAUUAAGCUUCUCAAUGGGAGGCAGAGAACCCCUUACUCAGAAACUCAAAAUAAACCUUGAUCCAGAACGAAAUUUAUAGAAGCAGGCAUGGAAUUUCAUAAAGACUGAGUAAUGUUCUCAUUUCAGUACUUGUGUGUCAUAAAAUUAUCAUCGAGCUAAAUCUCCUGGAAGGUAAACACAACAUUUUAGUCUAUCUUAUCUCAAAAGCAGAUUCCUGUUGGGUUCCUGUGUUCUGAUCCACUCUGUACUUGUUGUUUGGACAUUCAGGACCACUAGGCACAGGGCAGAUGCCACUCAGAUAAUGAAAUGGCUACUGUUGAGGUCUCUGCUACCUACCAGCAGUGAUGGCCUGGCUACCAAAAUAUAAAAAUAUCUUCUGAGAUCAACUGAAUUAAUCCUCAUAUAGCUGAGGGAAGUGGAGUAUUAGUUUUAGGUCAACAGUAUUUAAUUUUUUAAUGUUUAAUUCAUGAAACAUUUUUUUGGAGACCCCCUCCCCCACAAGAAACAGAAGUCUAAACUUCCUGUUUGUUUUAUGAAUAAAAAAUAGAAUGAUUUGUAUUCCUUGAGCUCCAACCAACACAGAGAUAGUGUCAUAGAGGUUGCUAGAAACAUACUGAAUGUUGGAAGAAAAUAAGCCCCCCAAAAAAAUCACACAAAAAAACUUCACAUCAAAGUUGUUGUAUUUCACCAAUUGUGAUAGAUUUUUAAAACCUAUAUUUUGUUUUUUAUUUCAAUUAUUAUUAAGUUAAAAAGCAAAAUGACCAGCCUCAGCAACUUAGUGAGGCCCUAAGAAACUUAGUGAGAACUUGUCUCAAAAUAAAAAUAGAUAGAUAGAAAGACAGAUAGAAAGAUAGAUAAAUGGUCUGGGGAUGUGGCUCAGUUGUAAAGCACCCCUGAGUUCAAUCCCUGGUACAAAAAAAAGCAAAAAAGCAAAAUUAAAUCAUCAUUCAGAAAGUAGGAGAUCCAAACAAAACAAUCUUGAAAAAGACAAAUGGAAUUGAAAUCCAGGUACUUCUGAAUUUCAAAACUAACCUCAAAGUUACAAUUUCAAAGCAGUGGGGACUGGCUUAACAGAGACAGACCAUUGGGAUAGAAUAGUCCAAAUAUAAAUUCUUGCAUAUAUAAUUAAGUGAUUUUCCAGAGAUGUGGUUAGAUCAUCCAAUGGAGAAAAGACAGUCUAUUCAACAAAUGGUGUGGGGAAAACCUAAUGUCCAUGUACCAAAAAAUAAAGUUAGACACUUACCUAAUACCACGUGCAAAAAAAAAAAAAAACUCUCAAAAUGAAUCAAAUACCUAAAUGUAAGUCCUAAAAUUAUAAGACUUAGAAGAAACUAAAAGAGAAAUUUGGCAAUGACUUCUUAGAUAUGAUGCCAAAAACAUAAAUAAUGAAAGGAAAAAAUAGGUCAAUUAGACCUCAUCAAAAUUAAAAAUAUAAAAGGAAUAAAAGGAACAGGAGGAGAUAUUUUUAAAUUAUAUAUCUGAUAAGGGAUUGAUAUCCAGAAUAUAUAAAAUAUUUUUACAAAUUUGUAACAGGAACAACAAAACACCCUAACUAAAAUAAUGGUGAAAGGCUUGAGUAGACUUCUUUCCAAUGAAGAUCAAUUAAUAAGCACAUGAAAAGAAGCUCAAUGUCCCUAGUCAUUACAGAAAUGUAAACCAAAAUUAUGAUGAUAAUACUUCUCACCCAUUAGGUUAUUUUUUUAAAACAGUAAAUAAUAAGUGUUGAUGAGGCUGUGGAAAAAUUUAAACCCUUUCCAUUGCUGGUGGGAAUGUAAAAUGGUAUGGCUAUUGUGGAAAAUCCUAUGAUAAUUCUUCAAAAAAUUAAACAGAGAAUUACCAUAUGAUUCACUAAUUCCACUCUAGGGAAGACUAACACAUAUUUGAACACAUUUUUGGAUAGCACUUUUAUUCACAAGGUUAGAAGGUGGAAACAAGACCAGUCUCCAUGGAUGUAUGAAUGGAUAAACAAAAUGUGGUAUAUACAUUUAUGCAUUAGAAUAUUAUUCAGUCUUCAAAAGAUCAGUAAUUUUGACACAUUCUAUGAACAUUAAUGAACCUUGAAGACAUUAUUCUAAGUGAAAUAAACCUGUCAUGAAAGAGCAAGCUGUAGUAUGAUUCCACUUCUGUGGGGUUCCUAGCAUAGUCAGAUUCAUAGAGACAGAAGGUAAAAUGGUGGUUACCUGGGGCUGAAAGGAGGGGGCAAUGUGGAGUUAUUAUUUAAUGGGUAUAGAAUUUCAAUUUGGGAAGGGAAAAAAAGUUCUCUUGAUGGAUGGUGGUGAUAGUUAUACAACAGUGUGAAUAUAGUUAAUGCUACAGAACUGUAUACUUUAAAAUGGUUAAACCAGAAACAUUUGUAUGUUAUGCACAUUUUAUUAUAAUUUCAAAAGUGAGAACAAAAAACAGAAAUAAUAAGUGAAUAAGUUGUUGAAAAUUGGGAAGAAGUUAAAUGUAUAGUAAUAGGGGAACUGGAAUGAUUAAAUAAAUUAUUAUUACCCACUCAGUGGAUAUUUAUGUAGACACCAAUAUUUAUUAAUGGUGGCAACAUGGAAAAAUGCCUAUAGGGUAUUAAGUGUAUGAGGGGGUAAAAUUGUCAUAUAAUUUGAUUGUAAGUAUAAAUAACUCUGGUUCCAGGAAAACAAAAAACUAAAAAGAAAUAUCAAAGUGCUUUAAAAUUUUUUAAUUUGGAUGGUGAAAUUAUUUGCUUUGUUUUCAUUUAUUUUCCAAUUGUUUUGGAAAACAGAUGUAAUAAUCUUUAAUGGAAAAUGAAUUUAUAAUUAAAAAAUGAAAAGAAGUAACAAAGCAACAUCUUAAAAUAAUUAUUACAAUCCUUUUUAGUUAUCUAUAAUAUCAAAAAUACUGGCUAUCUUUGAAGCUUUUGCCAAUAACGAAACUAUCAAGGAAGCGAGUGAUUAAGGUUCCUGGAAAUUCUUGUUCAAUUUUCUGCUUCAAAUACCACUCAGGAUUCAGGUCACUGAGCAGAGGAUACAAAGUUGAACAUCUCUGAAGGAAGAAAGAAACUCGUCAUGCAUUUGUCACUGGGCAAAGAGAACUUCCCAGAGGCGAAAACGGCAUGCAUGGAGAGAUGCCUAUCUAGGUUAAAGCAGACUCACAGCUUGGCAAAUAGGGCAGUCUUUAAAACUGCUUUCCAAAUUGAGGCAAUGAUUCUAAGUAGGUUAUUCUUAAAACUUAAUUCUACAUCCAUCUUUCUCCAACUGACUUGUUGACUCCAUCUCAUUGUCUCUCACAAGUUCCACCUUGGCCCUCCAGCCUCCUACCACCCACUCAAGGGACCAUAAUGCACAGAAGACUGUGGGGAAGGGCAGCAAGGGAAAGGCACGGGCUUCAGAUGGUGAUGUCUGCUCUUUGGAACAGGCAGGCAGGCAGUAGGCAAAGAAAGUGGGCAACAGUGUCACAAAGCAGAGCUGCAACCACCCAUCAGGAAGGGGUAGCUGUCUUCAAACUCCUAGGGCCUCAUACUCACAGUAGCUCACAGGUAUAUUUGAUGGUCAAGGUCACCAGAUUCACAGGGUUCCAACCUCCAUGUUCCUUUCUGAUGGAUCCUGUUACCAAUUUCCUACAAGAGCCUUAUCUAACCUGUCUUCCAGAGCCAUUGUUCAUGUGGAUGUUGCCAUAAAGUAUUCUCAUAAAUUUAGUUUCAUUCCAUUGAUGCUCUUGGAUUCUGGUCUGAAGAAACCUUCCAAGGUCCCAGUUGAUGUCUCUUCUAUCCUCUGCCAUUUUGGACCAUUCUGUCUCUCAUCAAUUCUAGGUGGUUCGAGAUCAGAUCUCUCACUGUACGGUGAAAUUACGCCAGACCACAGGUCUCAUGGAGUAUUGCUUGGAGGUGAUUAAGGAAAAUGAUCCUAGUGGCUUUUUGCAGGUAAGUGUUAACUAGUUCUGCUUCAGAUUCCACAUCAGAUUCCAUGGGGCUGAGUCUAGGAUGCCUAGGUAGGGUGUCCAGAAACCCUGGCUGAGCAUGGGUCCCACAAUAACAGAACCCACCUUCACACUGCAGUGAGUGUGUGGGUGCCUGCUAAACUCACUGACAUAUACUGGAAGUUCUGUUUUCACCAUGUAUUAGAAGACUGAAAAGUGUUUGGGAUUUUUUGUUUAUUUUUGUUUAUAGAUUUAGUCAUAAAAACGUAACUCCUUAUAAGUUCUCCCAAAAUGGAGUCACUGCCUUGCCUAAGAAUUGGGCCUUCUUUAUUACUGUCUCUUGGACAGUUUUGUUAUCUGGAAAUGUCUGAGUGUGCAAGGUUUCUACCUCCCGGUCACUAGCCAUAAGUCAGUGAUUUCUCAAAUAUAGCAAAGCCUUUUCUAUUUUUUCAGUGUUAUUUUAGUGAAUUGCCAUAAGAUAAUCUGACUUUUACUUAAGUUUUGAUUCCGAAGAUAAGGAACCCUUUGUUAAGGGAUGUGUAGAUGGUUUCCAACUCAUAUUCUACUGAACUGGCCAAGAGUAAAAGAAGGAGACUGAAUGAAAGAAUUCUCUGUCAGAGAAUACGGUAUUAAAUACACAAAGUUGGUGAGCCUAAAAUAUAAUAAAUUCUAUAUGCAGCCUCUUUAAACCAGUUCCCAAGUCUUUAUAGACUACUCACACCUCAAAGUAGAAACUUAGAUCUGUUGGUUCUAAUAGGACUAACUAAUCACCAACAUCAUCUCGUCCUUUACAGUCGUUGGCUUUGAGGAUCAUGGAGUAUUGCUUGUCUCUCACAAGUUCCACCUUGGCUCUCCAUACCCAUAGCACCCACCCAAGCGACAAUAAUCAGAACAAAUGCCCAUGGGUCUGUGGGGGAGAGGCAGCAACAGAAAGGAACAGGCUUCUCCCUCUCUCACUCUUGGCCAAUAUAGAAUGAUCCAGGCAUGUCUAUUAGAUCAAUUAACACCUGAUAAUUACUUCCAGUGCCUUCCCUACAACUCACCAAAAUGUUCAGAUUUGCUUGAUAAACCAUAGCUUAUCGUAGUCAUAACAGGUCCUUCUCACCAGAUGCAUUGAGACAGGACAGGUGUGAGUCCCAAGGCGGUUUGGUGGUAAUACUCUUGGAGUCGAGGGGCAGUGUGGCAUUGUAUUUCUUAGGCUGUGGUCUUUGAUGUGAUUAGAUUUCUGACGCCCUCAUAAGGAGAGUGCACCUGACUGAGGAUCAGUGGGGGAAAGGCACGCUCACUCCCAGGAUGACCACGGACUUUGACUUGAGUCUGGACAACAGCCCUCUGCUGCAGUCCAUUCACCAGCUCGACUUCGUGCAGGUGAAAGGUACGUGAUUGCGUCUCCCGAGUCAGAGAGCAACCUCUGGAACAGAUGCUGGUGCUUUGGGCAGGAUCAAUAUCCCUCUGAUGAAUGUUAUAAAAAUCUGUAGUGUCUUCUAUCUUACUGGGUAAUGAAAACAUCCCCUGUAGCUGUGUAACUCACCUCUGAGCAAACCAGAUAAAUUCUGAUAAACUGUUUGAGAGUCAGAGAUUUCACAUGCUCAGCAUCAGAGAAUAGCUGACAUAAAAUGAGAUAGGGAGAAAGAGAAAACAUCCCUGCACAUAACUAAAGCCUUGUUACAGAAAUACUGAUAUAAAUCAAGGGAGCCCAGAAUUUAAAUGACUGCUUCCACCUGGAUAGUGAUAUCGAGUAAACAGUUCAGCCUGGACCAGUGGGAACUUGGGAAGAUCAUAGUCAGCCUGACAGUACUGACAAGAAAAUAACAAAUGUAGAAGGAAAAUGAAAAUUCAACCUAAACUUUAAAAUUAAUUUAUGUAACUAAAGCAAGUUCUCUUUGAGAUUUGGGGUAGGGUGUGAAGGGAAGUACAAAUAUAUAGAAUUAUUUUAAGGAAAAGAACUUUCAAAGAAAAAUAAACAAUUCAAGCCAACUAUGCAAAAACACUUUAUGGCACAUUAAAUAAUAUCCAUUUAAAGAAUAUUUCUGUUUUAUUUUUUACUCUUUUGCUUUGAAACAUAUAUACAUUUUCAGGAAGGUGCAAACAUAGUAUGAAGAGGUCCUUCAAAUUCUUCAUCUAGUUGUCCUCAAUGGUUACAUUUUUGCAUAACUAUAAUAUGUGCUUCUUCAUGGAAUAUCUGUAUUCUUACACUUAAUAAAUCCAACUUUUUGUGUUGCAGCAAUUCUUUCUUGCUGUUUAACAUUUUUCUUUUAACACCCACAUGGUAGCCUGUGAAAUAAACCUAUCCCUAGAUGAAUAUAGAACCCCAGGUAAAUCUUCCAUCAGCCUCUCUCUGUCCCCAAAGGAAAGGUUCUGUCACAAGUAGCUUGGAAGAGAAAAUAUGUCACAAAAGACCAAAAUAAAGGCUUGAUGGAAGAGGAAAAAGGAGCCAACCCAGUUAAGCCUUGGUGAGAGGGCAAAGGGUGGGAGGCUCGGGGGUAGAAGCCUCGGGGCUUUGAAAUGUUUUAAUCAGCUGUCAGAGCCCUUCCCUUGCCCAUUCACUGCCCUUCUGAGUCCUGUCCAUCUGCCCAUGGUGGAGUCCAGGCCAGUUGGCAGGAUGGCAACAAUUGUGUGAACUGAGCAGGCCUUUCAGCUGCUAUGAGAACUGCAGGUCCACGUGCCUGGCAUCACAGAACACAUUUCCAAAGCAUUGUCACUUGGCCACUUAGCACUGCACACAGAAAUAAGGGUGAACACAGCUGUGUGUACAGUCUGUUCAAGUCUGUACCCACAGCAGAGAAUGGACAAAAUGUAGAACACCCUCACAGCAAGAGUUCAUCUGGACCACAAAAUAUCCAGAACAGUCAUUUAUGAAGUUAAUAUGACAGACCAGUUAGUAUGAGAGGUAGGUAUUCCAUUUACCUUUUAACUUUUCAUCUUCAUUUACUUCUGGUUAAUAUCACUCUGCCUUGUUACUUUAUAUGCUUUGUUUUGUGCUCAUUAAUUUAAUUAAUUCAGUGAAAACUCAGUCCUUUUUAGAAUCUGAAUAAUUUUUAUCUGUCAGAUGCUUGUUAUGGAAAGAAAACCCAAAAGGUCAUGAUGUGAUAGAACUUGAUUGACUAGUUAAAACUUCUCCUACUGGACUGCGUCAUUUCUCUUAACACAUGUACAACUGUUCCUGGCAUAGUACUAGUCUUUGUUUUUAAAAGAAAUACUUAGUUUAAUGAAAAACUCGUUUGCAACUUGUUGAUAAAAAUAUCACAAGAAACUAUACUCUAAAAUGCAUAUACAAAUGGCCCCAAAAUUAAAUAACUUUUGGAAUAGUGUUAAUGUAAUCUGAUAAUUGUGAAAGUAACAAUAUAUGUCAUUUACGUGUUUUCUAAUCAUGCUAAGUAGAUUACAAGUAGAAAGUUAAAUUUUUUUUCAAAAUUACUGAAAGUAUGUAUUUAAAAUUAUGAUAAUGAAAAUAUCUGUUUCCUUCUUGACUGAAAACUUGAGCAGCCAUCUCUCUGGUUUUAUAAUCUCAUCACAAAUGCCUUUGCUGUUGUUGUUGAUACUAAAGAAGAUAGUUCUGCUGUUAGUUUCUACACAUUUCUACUCAGCCAGCUACUACUCAGCAAUAAUGCACUGCCUGAAGUUAUUCUCUUAAUAACUAAAGACUUAACUGGUCUUUUUUCUCUGAUUACACAUCACCCUAAGCAAUUGAAAUCCAUCUGAAGAAAGCUGAUAUAUUCUUUGUUCAAACAUUCCUAAAUUGAAAUAUUUUCUGGUUGUAUCUUGAUUAGAAAAUCAUAUUACACUCUUUACAGAUGAUUAGGAGUGGUAUUGGGUAUUUCAGACUUAUUGGAAGCAAUAUAUUAAGCUCUCUUACGUUUUUAUUAGAGAAUAGUAAAAAUAACAUUUUUUCCUUUAAUUCUAAGUUGCUAUCAUCUACUAUUCUCUAGGUCAUGACAAAGAAAUUUUAAGAGUCUUUUCCUAGUCUGCCAAGGGUUCCACUGCAGAAAAAUAUUAAUCUGGAAUUGAGCAAGUACACAGAAUAUGCCGAGAUUUGUGAGUCAUGGUGCUGAAAGGAAAUGUGACUGUAUUCAUUAUGAACCAGGAUGAAACCAUGACCUGAAACUCCACUGAUGCUUUUUAGCACAUAGACCAAAUGGCUGUUAAUUUCUUUAAGUGCCUCUGCCCCUCUAAAGAUAUAUUUAUCUUCAUUAAUUCAUCUUGAAUGUGAAAGCCCUGAGUAUGCACCAAGGUCAUGGGCAAGGACAGUGUGAUCUGAACAGACUCUCUUAUAAAUCAUAGAGAAGAAGCAGCCAGGUUGACAGCAAGGGGGUGAGCAUACCCACGUGUGCAUGUAAUCUAUACCUGCAUGGUGGUAUGGGGACCUGAAAUGCAUGUCCUCAGAAUAUGCAUUCACAUUUAUGCUUAAUAGUGUACCAGCAACAGUUUUCUAGAAAUGGCCUAUAGCUCCUCUAAAGUCUGAAAGCCAUUUUUUUGUCAGCCACCAUAAAGAGAAAUGACAGUCUACAUACCAACCUUUAGAGAAGAUGUAGUAAAUUGGCAUUCACAACCGUCAUAGCUCUGCAGGUGAAAUAGAUCGUUAAUAUCUACCAGCAGUUCUUAGGAAUGUUUGUCAUUCACAUCAGAGAAAACAGAAAGAAGCCUUCAGAUUCAGGCAUGGAGACUCUGCUCCAGUGCACUUCCCUGGAGAAGCAGCUGAGCCAAACACAGCCCCAGAGCCAGCCUCCUGGGCUUCAGAUCCUAGCCUGCCCUUUCCCCACUGGAAAUCCUCUCUGGGCUUUAGUUCUUAGUUUUAGUUUUCAGUCUGAAAAGCAGAUAUGAUAACAGGCCCUACCUUGUGGGGUUGUUGUGAAAAUUCAGAGUGUAAUACACAUAAGCCUCCCGUACACUGGCUGUCAGUGAGAGAUCAGGAGGCAUCAUUUAUGAUUCAUGUUCUCUGUGGAGGGCGGGAGGUCAGCUUCCUUUCUCCCUCAGUCUUACCACUCCUGUUGGUUUCACAGAGGAAUUCUGAAGAGUUGUCAUUGUUCACAUCUGAAGGAUUUAAGAAGUAAACAAAGAAGGAAAAUGUGAGAUGUAACACCAAGACAUUUUAAAACAUUGGUAGAAGAAGCCCCUGUUGCAGAACAUAACUUUAAACCACAACUCCUCCAGACUCUUAAGGAAGUCAGGAAGAGUAGCUCCCCUGGUAUCUAAGAGGAAAAUUUGUAGCCUGAAGCUUGGUUUUACAGGCUAAAAGAAAAUUUACAUGCUAGAAUUCUGAUCAGGUGAGGAAAAACUAGUUGUUAAAGAAAAGCAUGAAAUGAGCUUGGAAGUGUAAAGAUCAAGAUAGCUACAGUAGCCCAGUGCAAGGAGUUUAAAUAAAACACUCUUUCUUAGACAUCAGUCCAGGAACUAUAGUGUUCUGCAUUUCCAAACCAUAAAAAAUAGAUAAACUUGAAAAUACUUGGAUUUUUAUAGACCAUUUAUUCUAUACCUAAUCAAAUGAAAUAGGGUAACAUAAAAAUCUUCUAUAAAGUCUAUUUUUCUAAAUGUCAGCCUGAGUAUUUACUAAUGAGGCUGUGAUUUUGUCACAUUUGCCUUUUAUGUAUACCAUCAUUUUGGGGUAAAU
rnacentral:lncRNA from 1 species